rnacentral:lncRNA from 1 species
UCUUUGAUGAAAUGACUCCACGUUUUCAUAUUGUAAAGUUGGACAGCAACUCAACGUUUUGCAUAUGCGUAAUUGUGGAAACGGUAUGGAAUACAUUUUAAACGGUAUGGAGUAUAAAACGACUUAUGUAUGGGUGUGACCAGUGGCGGAUCUACCUUAUAGGUAGGUUGGGCACGUGCCCUACACUGAUUUUUAUUUUGUAUUGAAUAACUCUACACAAUAGUUUCAUAUUAGUUCAUUUGGUAAUGUUUACAUGUAGGUAAUAUGAGAGGUGGGGUGUUCUAUACCUUCAUGUAGACUAUUUUUACUUUUUAACUUUCGUAUUUUUAUCAUAUGGUAUACUAAUGUAGUAUUAAUUUUUAGGUAUAUUUAAUAUGUGCCAUAGGUUAAUAAAUCUCCUGGAUCCGCCACUGGGUGUGACUUGUGAGCCGUAUGAUUCGAGUCGAAAUUCACGAAUAAUACCUCUUUUUUUUCAAUUCCCUUUAAACUUUUUUUUUUAAUAGCUUUUCAAUAUGAGAUAUUAAUUUGAUCAUGUGGUGAGUGUGGUCCUUAACGAGUGAGAUUGGGAGUUUCAUAACCAACUAUUACGAGAUGGGCGAUUGGAAGUUUUAUAGUUUACAUAUAUCAUAUAUUGGAUAUGAAUGCUUUAUAUUUGAAAAUAAAUAUGUAAAACUAUAAAUAACACAUGCAAAAAUAAAUAAGACUAAUCCCAUGUCAC